rnacentral:rRNA from 1 species
UGGAUGACUCUCGACAAUGGAUAUCUGGGCUCUCGCAUCGAUGAAGAACGUAGCGAAAUGCGAUACUUGGUGUGAAUUGCA